ensembl:lincRNA
CACCCCUUAUACUGCCGGGGGAGGAUUGGAAGAAGAUGGAGAAAUGGCGAUUCCAUUUCCAGCCGUGACCAGUAGGCCAAGACAGCAGGCUGUUCGGUCUACACAGCACGGUUGACAGGCCGAAACCUGGAGACGUCCCGCCCAGUCAUCUUUCACCACUUCUCCAAGAGAGAUGGUAGUGCACCUCCGUGUGAGCACAUUUUGUUUCAGAGGAUGCUGUCACCGUAAGCUCCCAGCAUCCCUGGAGGCGGGCAUUUCACUUGAAGACACUGACUCACAGAUCUCUGGUUCCGCAGAACUCCCCUCCCCCCCCACAGCCCCCCUCCUUGUUCCUCCCGUCUUCUAUCUAAGAGGGUCUCAAGGGCCUACCUGGCCCUCAAACCCCAAAGCUAAAAGCAGAGCUAAGCAGGUGGGAAGGACUUAACAGAAAUGCAAAGACUUUGUCUCACCUUCCACACAGCUAACAGCUAACAGCGGAAGUCUUCCAGACACUGUCGAGCCCACCCGCUGGAGCCAGGAGUCUGGAGCCUCGGGGUCCACAGCUACCUCUGUCCUUAGAGCCCUCAGGCAGAGAGCUGGGAAAACUUUCUCGGCUUCACUGGGACCCAGGAAGGUCAAUGGUGGUCAAAGGCUUUUUCCACGGUAUCACACGACUCUGGUUGAAGGGCGUUUGCAAGUAGGGAAGCAAGAAUUUGGCACCGGCAUUCUUCAGGUGGGUUCUCCGAGUGCCAACCUGUACCUAUUCUUGGGAAGCCAUAUGGUGUCUGGUUAUAUUAUUACAUAAUUCCACAGUGAGUCUUAUUUAUUCUCUAUCACUAAGCUCGUAAUAGAUUAAACUAAAACUCACCUUUCAUUUCUGGGAAAGCCAUUUGCUCAGAGUUCUUUAAUUAGCACGUCAAGCAAAAGGAAGGCCACUAACUCCAAGAGCAACGGACUGGGCUUGCAGUCCCUACUGACUGAACCUGGUAGUCAGCUCGGGCAGUUUCCCAGACAUGCAUCAUCGAUUUUUAACUCAAGAGAUUUCAAGGGGUUCCACCAAGUCUUCUCUUUGUGUUGCCUCGCCUCGGGUUCUAAGGACUCCCUUAGCCUUGCUUGAAACACUCACUUUGUUUCAAGUGUCUGCUCUGGACCUGACAGGAGGUUACAAUCUUCCUGUCAAACACAUUUCUUUGUUAUUCAAAAUUAGUCGCUUUAAAAUCCUUUAAUCACCCAUCCCCCUUUAAGAACCCCCCACCCCCCCACACUGUCUUUUUCUCUCUCCUUCCCUCCUCCCACCCUUCUCUUUCUACAUGAUCUUCCUUUCUAGCCCCUGCUGACCUUUAACUUACUUUCCACCUGCUUGAGUCUUAAGUGCUGGGCUUAUAGGCAGGUCCUACCAUAUUUGGGUUCCAGAAUUCAUCUUCAUUCAACAGAAACUUUCAAAACUGCCCAGCUUGUACUGAGCUCUGUGCUAGGAGCUGAUGGGAGCAGAGAUGAAGCAAGCCACAGGCCUCUCAAAGCUCAAUGCAGGUACCAUGUCCCUCUCCUCCUUCAGAUCUACAGUGAGCUUUCCCCAGCUCUUCUGUGGGGUCACCUCAGCCAGGUUAAGGUACCUGCAGAGGUCCUGUUGUGCAUCCUUUGUAUCGGUAUUUUGGUACUCAGGCUUCUUCUGUCACUGUUUGUGCAUACGGACAAUCUGUGUAACUUGAUUGUUAAGUGUAUGCAGUGGCUCUAGUCUUGUUGUUUUGCCUGAUCAGGAAUAAUUGGCACUCAGUAAAAAAACAGCAUACACCUGCCGGGUGUGAGAAGCAAUUCCAGGAUCUUGGGGGCAAGAGGACUGCGUCAACUUUGGGACGACCUUGGACUACAUAGUGAGUUCUAGUGACUCCAUAGCCUGUCCAGGGUUCAGAGUGAGACCCUAUCUCAAAAAGUUGAAGGGGUAUGGGAAGCCAACAAAAAAUAUUUACCAUUUAUUGAGUGCUUAAUUUUGAGGCAAAGCAAUUUUUCAGUGCCAUCAAAGAAGCCAAGUGCAUUAUCUGCUUUCUUUUUUUUUUUUCUGUAUUCUGACGUUGGACAUUUGAGGCAUUGCUGACCUUCAUUGACUCCUCCCACAAUGAGCCCAUGACUACAAAUAGUCAACAUUUGCCUGGAAUUGGCAGUUACCCUCAUUGUUUCUAGGACAGAAACCAAAGGACUUGAUCCUUUGAGCCCACUGCAGUCUGUCAAGCUAGCCAAUAGGAAAGCUGCUUUCUGGCCUCCCAUUCCCUCCUAAAGUCAUCCCCCUGCCUCCUCACUAAGUGUGAGACUUCUGCUGUUCCAAUCCAUCCUCUUCCUGGGAACUGUGAAUGACAACUAUCAGUGACAGGCAUCUCCCAUGGAUAGCCCAUUUUUUGUAUUAAUAUGCUAACUAUACUUUAAAGCAAUAAGGAAACUGUCAGCUUUUUCCCCAGGAGGGAGAGUAUAUGGAAAACUGAAUAAUGUCAUUUUAUGUUUGGAAAAACAGUGCUAAUUAUUUUAUGACUUCAAAUAAAGUGAAAUAUUACUCUC